UCCAUGCUCCAUCACUAGAAUUAGUUAUGCGAAUCGAGAUUCGAACUCGGGUCACUCUCUUGCUCACGAAUAAUAAUUUGCUAAUAUUCGAGUUUUACUAAGGUGAGUUAAAUUAAGCAUAGAACAAGAAAAUAAAGAACCAAAUAAAAACAUUAAUUAAAAAUAGAGAAAAUGAAGUCAUAAAUUCAUAUAAUGAGUUAGUUCCCUUAGAUACAUACAUAGCAUGUGGUAUAUAUUAAACCCACACACCAUAUCACAUCUUAAAACCAUCAUAAACCGAAUAUUCGGCUAGCUCAUCAAAAAAAGAACUUCAUAAUAAACUUUUAAAGACCUAAAUUACAAAAUUGAGGCCACCCUAUUAUAAAAAAAAAUAAUAAAUAAUUUAUUUUUUUCAAGCAGCUGGAGCAUAAUCAUAACCUCCAUCGUCGUCAUCUCCAUCGCCUUCGAUUAUAACUGAAGCCGCAUGACAAUUAUACCCUUCAACAGGAAAAUUUUCACCAUCUAGAACCUUCUUCUGCAACGAACCAUCGGUAUUGGAAACGAUAAACAUUUUUUUUCGUAUUUUUUAAUAUGCGAAACAAGAGCUUAACGGGGGAUUAAGAGUAGUGCGAACAAUUUGAUGGUUUCGAAUUUUGAUGAAU
rnacentral:lncRNA from 1 species